GAGCCAACUACAAUAUAGGAGGAGAAAAAUGAGGAGAGGUGGGUAACAGUGCUUCGAUGUGGCGGGGAGGUCCAGAGUCCAUCCACACCUAGAAACAUUUCUGUGCACCUCUGGCUUGCAGAAGAUCCCCGUGGGAGGUCCACCAGGGGCAGGUCCACUGAGGUUGGCCACAGUGCCUUUACUAAGGCUGGAAGACCAGCCUCAGGUUGCACCCUGGCCUGGGGCCUAGCUGGAGUCAGCUCCAAAUCGGAUCUGCUGCAGGCUGAGCAGGUGAAGCCGCCAGAGGUUCCGACGGUGGGUGGCUGGAUUUGGUAGUCUCUCCAGCCCUUAGGGCUCGGGAGUUCGCUCCUCCACCCGACAAGAGUCGCCCAGAGGCCAGACAGCCCUCCUCAAAUGCUAAACCUGGUUUUCCUCCAGAUGCCAGCGAGUAAGGUUGCCCAUAGCCGCUGACGCCUGCUCUCACUAGCCUAUAGCCCAGAUCAACUAUUUUCGUGGUUAGGUAAAAAACGAAAAGAAGUCCCCUCUCCCGGCAAAGCGAGUCUUGCAUCCCAAGGCUUCCCCUAGACACAUCGAUUUCAGCCGGGUAUUUCCUCUCGGCCGGCCGGGUUGGGAGUUCUGGACCCCGGCACCUUCGUGCUGGCCCCCUCCUCCCCUCCUCAUCCUCCCACACUCCCCCAGGGGCAGCAGGGCCUGGCCAAGGGCGCUGCGUGUGACCCCGAGCGGAAGGGCCCCAGUCUGGGUCCUAAUGCGGGUGGCGUCUCCCUUGACAGGCGGCGUUUGGGGACAACAGCGGGGACGGGAGAUAAGGUGACAUACCAGAGCAGAUUUGGUGUGCGCGCUGAUACUCCUCUCCCGACAGGAAACGCGGAGCUAUUUAAAAGACCCUAUCGAUUACUUUAUCUCUCCCAGAGGAAAGCUUCUUGCCGAGAGACAAAAGAUGUUCCCUACUUAGAGAUACAAGGCCACAGCCUUCCACACACAUCGGAGGGUCUGCACAAGCGACGUCCAAUUAGGCUGCGGGGAGAGAAGAGCCACGUUCACACCGCAGACUGCACAAAUGCGUGCGUGCCAAGAGGGCAGCGGGAGCGCAGAGGGGAGGAAGGGGCAUUUCACAGGAUCAUCCUCUGUACCCUUUGAAAUUUUUUGACACAAAGUAAGUGGCUGUGCUCUUGAAGCACAAAUGUGUACCCGUGUCGUUUCAGCGUAUUUAAAGCACACCAGUAAGCACAUGCAAAGUUACUGGUCGCUGUGAGUGGAUUCCACACACGUCUGCAACGUAAAUGCUCCGCUGUGCUCCUUUUCAGGGCUUGAAUGUCUACUUAAAGUAUGGAGCUGGGUCCACACAACCCGUUAUAGGGCGCCCAUUUUGUGUUCGAAUUCCCGCAUUUCGCCCAUUUGCUGGGGCCGCAGAAUGUCCCCGGUGAUAUCCCCGAUGACACUGAAUGUGCUCCGGAGUCCCGCAACUUGCUGGCCUCUGGGUUCCCUGAGCCGUGCCCGGAGGAGGCUCUGGGUAAAUGCUGAUUGGACCGAAGGGACAGUAUCGAAUGGUUUUCCCCGGUACAGCAAUUUGCCAUCUACGCACUCGCAAUGUGCUCCACCUGACCGUGGAAACUUCGCGGCGUUUCCGCAGAGCAGGUUGGAAGGCAAGACAAGAAAAGAAGAUGCCGAGGAAGGAAGGGUGGCGGCAGGCCACAGGAAGGUUAGAUCGCUCGCUUAAUUUCCAGCUGAAAUUCAACACAGACCAGGCCGCAGCAACCCAGGGCUGAAGCUCCGGGCGCCGCGGCCUGGGUUGUCCACGCGAGCCAGGGACGCCGCACAGAUCUGGGCUCAACUCUUCUCCCUCCGGGAAGCCACGCUGCCCCAGGCCUCGCCAGCCCCCCCGCGCUUUGGACAAAAACGGCUGACCGUUCGCCCAGCCCCGCUUCUCCCCAACCUUGCGCGCUCACGCCCAGGGUUCCUCCAAGGCCGCAGUUCCCCAAGCUGCACCCACGCCAGGCAGCCGUGACCUUCAAUGACGGGAUCCUGAGGGACUGAUUCGCGCGUCCCGGCUCUCUUGGCCUCUGCACGCUGUUUUCGCUGAAGCGGUUCGUAGCGGUGGGGUGUGGGGGGUUGGGGCACCAGCGGGAACACCGAAGAGAAAGCGCCAAAUUAACACAAAACGACAACGGAAGCUUGAAAACGACUCCCUCCGAUCUGGCAGAUCCUAACGCGAGUUUUAACGUGGGUCAUAUCGACGAAUUCAAGAUAUAUUCGGUUUUAGAAACAUACUCCCCAAAGCACAAAAAAGUGGCUUACACAAAGAUAUUAACAAGAAAACUGUCAAUGGCAAAAAACGGAAAGGAGUUGCUCUUAGAAAAAUGUAGAUGCCCCCCCAAAGGCAAUGUAGGAAUAAUACUGAAAUCUGCAGAAAAUGUCUCUAGAAAGAUAUAUGUUUUAAAAACUGGUGACCGCCUGAAUGGGGAUGGAAAUUAACUAAGAGGCCCAAGGAAAUCUUCUCGAGUGAUGCAAAUGUAUUUGUAUCUUGAAUGUGGUGGUCCUUACAGUGGUUUACUCCCUGUGUCAAGACUCAUGGAACCGUAUGUACAUUUGAACUGUUCAUUUUGUUUUUGGUACAUUAUGCCUUAAUAAAGGUGGUUUGAAAAAUAAAUAAACCCACUAACAAUUUGGCCUUUAGGGAAGGAAACUGGGUAGCUGGGGGAAAGGCAUGGGACACUUUACAUUGCAUCCUUUUCACCUGUUUGUUUUGGGUUUUGUCAUUGUGGUUUUUGUCAUGGUGUAAUAUUUAUUCAAAAUACAUAAAUAGGAUGUUGGGUGAUGUGAAUAUAAAGCAAUUGUUAAAGAAACCAACAACCGCAAAAACAGAGAUGCUUGUACACCCUGUUUUAGGGAUUUAAAAAAAAAAAAAAAAAAAAAAAAGCAUGCUCUGUCCAA